CAGGAACCCAGAGAGGGAUCUUACCUUUUGAACUCAUCCUGGAAGGGUAAGAACAGCCACCUUUUUGGCAUGGUCUUCAGGAACUUUUCUUGCUUCUCCU